AUGUCAGCGCAAAUCAGCCGUGCAUACCGCCAAGCUCACGCAUCAUCCUUCUCGAACAAUACUCCAUAUAAUUCGAGACUCCGUCGGCGUCACCAUCCCUCCAUCGAAGCUUCUCCAAAAUCGUGCGCGACUCCCUCCGUUUCCGAACCACCGACGAAGACUUCCCUCAGAUCCACACUGCUCAAAACCCGCGAAUACUGCCCCUUCCGUAAGCACGUGCCAUCGCCGCAAUCUCAAACCCACCGCUGUGUCACCUCCUCCGCAAAUCACCGCGAGCCAAAUCCACGACCUCCUCAACUAUCCUUCCUGCACCGUCAACGAGCCGAAGCUUCAAGCGGCCAUCUUAGCAUAUGUCGUCUCUGA